rnacentral:rRNA from 1 species
CUGGAGACAGGUGCUGCAUGGCUGUCGUCAGCUCGUGUCGUGAGAUGUGGGUUAAGUCCCGCAACGAGCGCAACCCUUGCCUUUAGUUGCCAGCAGUUCGGCUGGGCACUCUAAAGGGACUGCCGGGUGUUAAACCGGAGGAAGGUGGGGAUGACGUCAAGUCCUCAUGGCCUUUAUGACCAGGGCUACACACGUACUACAAUGGCCGAUACAAAGGGCAGCGACACUGCGAGGUGAAGCCAAUCCCGUAAAAUCGGUCUCAGUCCGGAUUGGAGUCUGCAACUCGACUCCAUGAAGUUGGAAUCGCUAGUAAUCGUGGAUCAGCAUGCCACGGUGAAUACGUUCCCGGGCCUU